rnacentral:tRNA from 1 species
GCCUCCAUAGUAUAUCGGUCAGUACACUGCCCUGUCGCGGCGGAGAGGCGGGUUCAAUUCCCGCUGGGGGCG